rnacentral:lncRNA from 12 species
AUCCCAAGCAGCCGCAAGCCGCCCCCGCCCCCGCCCCCGCCCCGCGUGCGCGCGGGCUGCGCGGACCUCCUGGUCAAUGGAGCGCCGCCGGCAGGUGGGCCCCCCAGCUCGCGCCCCGCGCUGCCUCCUCGGUUCUCCCGCCUCCGCUCCAUCUUGGCUCCGGCCGCUCUGCUUCUUGGUCACUUUCCAGGCGCCGGGGCCGCGGCAGCCGGGACCCAGCCUGCUAGGAUGAUCAUGCAGAUCUAUCUGAUACAGGGAGAAAUUCAGCAACUUCACCCAGAUUCAGUUUUCCCCACAAGGCUGCAUCUGAAAGACCAAAGAGGUAAGAAUAUAACCACUUCUUUGAAGAUGUUGGGUCAAUCUUACAUUUGGAUCCUCUUUCAUGUCAAGUCAUUUUUAAGAUUUUAGGCUGUUGGAAUUGUGGCUUGUAUGGUUAAAUCAAACUAUCCUUGCUUUUUGUUAUAUUUAUUCCUUCUCGGUAUCAUACCUAGUAUGGUGAAGGCACAGACCUGUUUUUUUGUGUGUGUUCUUCACUCAGUACUUUUUUUUUUUUUUAAGAUUUUAUUUAUUUAUUCAUGAGAGACCCAGUGAGAGAGUCAGAGACACAGGCAGAGGGAGAAGCAGGCUCCCAUAGGGAGCCUGAUGCGGAACUCAAAUCCAGGACCCCGGGAUCAUGACCUGAGCCAAAGGCAGAUGCUUAACCACUGAGCCACCAGGCGUCCCUUCACUUAGUACUUAUUAAGCACCUAUCUACCAUUUAGACAGGCACUAUAGUAGAUAGGCACUAUAGAUGUUGUAUUUCAGGUCUGUCUCCCUGUCUUCUUUUUCUGGGUCAUUUUGCACCUUUAUAACUGGGCUUCAUAAAACUAAUUAUAACCCACUUCAUCUGUAUAAUGCUUUACAGCUCACUGGGUGCUUUUGUAAAAUUUACCUCUUAGGAUCCUCCCAUGUAAACCUCAGUUAGGCACUGUGAUAUGGGGAGUGUCACUGCAGAACAGAAAGAGCUGGAACUAUGAAUCCAGAUCAGCCUGGGUAUCCAUUUUACAGUUGAGGAAACUGAGCCUCUGACGGGGCAAAUAACUUGUUCAAGGUUAGGCCAUCAUUAAGUAAUAAACAGAGCUCCUUUUAUAGGUUUGCA